AUGAUUUUCAUGAGGGUAUGCUUGUCACCAUGGAUCUUGGUGAUCCUGACAUCGACGAAGACAAUACAGACAUUUGGGUCCUUGUUGAUACACUUCCAAUUCUACCGCUAUAAUGCAAGGAAGAUGGUAGACAGAACCUACUACACCGAUGGCUCAGAAUUAACUUAUCAGGAGAAAAAUCAUCUGAUCUCAUUUAUUAAUGAUCUUGAGAAUUACAAUACCUAUUAUCAAACUCCUGCACAUUAUGGUCAAUACGUGCCACUAGUGCACGUGUUGAACUACGGUAACAUCCAUGGAGAUGGCAUGAAAACCCCGAAGGAUUGUGUGCCUCAUAUGAUGUUUUUAAAAGGUCGCCUUGAUGUUAUGAGCUUACGGCCAGGUCAUCCUACGCAUCACUGCUAUUCAUACCGGAUUUCUAAAACCGAUGGAGACAUGACAUUCAAAGAUUGGAAAAAAUGUAUGGUCAAUCAUAGGGAGCUACUUGGAAGCAACAUUGUGCAAAGCACAAGAAUUGGAGACAGGAUAAUCUCCAUUCUCCAUAAUGGAGAGUCAGGGCAUAUCUUGUUUUAUGUUAUAUUUUACCUAAGAGAGGGUAGUAGGUCCUAG
rnacentral:rRNA from 1 species